CAGUAGCGUAUAUUAAAGUUGUUGCAUUUAAAAAGCUCGUAGUUGGUGUUUCACCUGUCUAUGUUGCUGACGUUUCGUCUCGACGCCCGACAGGAUGGUCUUUGGUGUUUACACCGCUUGCACUGUGAGUAAAUUAGAGUGAUCCAGACAGGCUGUGCCUGAAUGCUUCAGCAUGGUAUGGGUUCUUGACAUCGGUGAAGCUUUGCUCUUGAGUGAAGGGUUGCCGCGGUAAAGGUUAAUAGAGACAGAUGAUGGAAUUCGUAUUGAGUUGCUAGAGGUGAAAUUCUUGGACCAACUCAAGACGUUCUGAAGCGAAAGCUUUUUUCACACAUGCUCUUAUUAA
rnacentral:rRNA from 1 species